CUCGUACUCCUUCCGUUCGAAAAUACUUAUCAGCGGAAUGGAUGUAUCUAGACGUAUUUUAAUUUUAGAUACAUCCAUUUUUACGCAUUUCUUCGAUAAAUAUUUUCGAACGGAGGGAGUACCUA
rfam:Triticum aestivum genome assembly, contig: Triticum_aestivum_CS42_TGACv1_scaffold_432939_5DL